rnacentral:rRNA from 1 species
AUUGAACGCUGGCGGAAUGCUUUACACAUGCAAGUCGAACGGCAGCACGGGGCAACCUGGUGGCGAGUGGCGAACGGGUGAGUAAUACAUCGGAACGUGCCCAAUCGUGGGGGAUAACGUAGCGAAAGUUACGCUAAUACCGCAUACGAUCUACGGAUGAAAGCGGGGGAUCGCAAGACCUCGCGCGAAUGGAGCGGCCGAUGUCAGAUUAGGUAGUUGGUGGGGUAAAGGCUCACCAAGCCGACGAUCUGUAGCUGGUCUGAGAGGACGACCAGCCACACUGGGACUGAGACACGGCCCAGACUCCUACGGGAGGCAGCAGUGGGGAAUUUUGGACAAUGGGCGCAAGCCUGAUCCAGCCAUUCCGCGUGCAGGAUGAAGGCCUUCGGGUUGUAAACUGCUUUGUUACGGAACGAAACGGUUCUCUCUAAUACAGGGGC